rnacentral:tRNA from 1 species
CAUUGGAAGGCUAAAUAGGGUCAAGCGUUAGCCUUUUAAGCUAAAAUUUGGUGCCUCCCAACCACCUCCAAUGG